rnacentral:rRNA from 1 species
AUUGAACGCUGGCGGCGUGCCUAACACAUGCAAGUCGAGCGGUAACAGGUGUAGCAAUACAUGCUGACGAGCGGCGAACGGGUGAGUAAUGCUUCGGAAUCUACCUUAUGGUGGGGAAUAACUAGCCGAAAGGUUAGCUAAUACCGCAUACGUCCUACGGGAGAAAGCAGGGGAUCGCAAGACCUUGCGCCGAUAGAUGAGCCGAAGUCGGAUUAGCUAGUUGGUGAGGUAACGGCUCACCAAGGCGACGAUCCGUAGCUGGUCUGAGAGGACGACCAGCCACACUGGGACUGAGACACGGCCCAGACUCCUACGGGAGGCAGCAGUGGGGAAUAUUGGACAAUGGGGGCAACCCUGAUCCAGCGACGCCGCGUGUGUGAAGAAGGCCUGCGGGUUGUAAAGCACUUUUAGUGGGGAUGAAAUGUGCAGGGUUAAUACCUCUGCAUUUUGACCUAACCCACAGAAAAAGCACCGGCCAACUCUGUGC